rnacentral:rRNA from 1 species
UACCGAGGUCCCGAGCGUUGUUCGGAUUCACUGGGCGUAAAGGGUGCGUAGGUGGCCUGAAAAGUUUGAUGUGAAAGCUCAGGGCUUAACCCUGAAAUGGCAUUGAAUACUGUCGGGCUGGAGGUUUGGAGGGGGGACUGGAAUUCUUGGUGUAGCAGUGAAAUGCGUAGAUAUCAAGAGGAACACCAGUGGCGAAGGCGAGUCCCUGGACAACACCUGACACUGAGGCACGAAGGCCAGGGGAGCAAACGGG